ensembl:lncRNA
AGGGCAGACUCAAGGUCAGGGCAGGCAGAACAAGGUCAGGGCAGGCAGAAUCAAGGUCAGGGCAGGCAGACUCAAGGUCAGGGCAGGCAGAGUCAAGGUCAGGGCAGGCAGACUCAAGGUCAGGGAGGGCAGACUCAAGGUCAGGGAGGGCAGACUCAAGGUCAGGGAGGGCAGACUCAAGGUCAGGGAGGGCAGACUCAAGGUCAGGGCAGGCAGACUCAAGGUCAGGGCAGUCAGAAUCAAGGUCAGGGCAGGCAGAAUCAAGGUCAGGGCAGGCAGAAUCAAGGUCAGGGCAGGCAGAGUCAAGGUCAGGGCAGGCAGAGUCAAGGUCAGGGCAGGCAGAGUCAAGGUCAGGGCAGGCAGAAUCAAGGUCAGGGCAGGCAGAGUCAAGGUCAGGCCAGGCAGAGUCAAGGUCAGGCCAGGCAGAGUCAAGGUCAGGGCAGGCAGAAUCAAGGUCAGGGCAGGCAGAAUCAAGGUCAGGGCUGGCAGAAUCAAGGUCAGGGCUGGCAGAAUCAAGGUCAGGGCAGGCAGAGUCAAGGUCAGGGCAGGCAGAGUCAAGGUCAGGGCAGGCAGAAUCAAGGUCAGGGCAGGCAGAGUCAAGGUCAGGGCAGGCAGAAUCAAGGUCAGGGCAGGCAGAAUCAAGGUCAGGGCAGGCAG